GCGGGGCCUCGGGUGUAACGUCACUCUGGGUGCGCCGGCCGUCCAGUUCCGCCUCUCAGGGUCGGUUGGGGUGCCAGGCUGGCUUUCGCCAGGGAAUACCCCCGGGCGCUAAAGAAUUGAUAGGGCUGUGUGCCGAGGAAACGAUUGGCGUUUCCAGUCUGGCGGGAAGAGAGGGAAAGGCGAAGUUCCUGGAGCGGGUCACGAUUGGUCUCGCCUGGUCGCCCCUCCUGUGACGUCGGGGGCAGAGACCAAUGGGAGCCUCAGGGAGGCCUCCCGGGAAGACGGCGCGGGAGGACCUAACCUGAAGCCUCAGGCUCUUUAUCAGCAAAAAUGUUUUAUGGCAGGCAGAAGGGCCACCUCACAGAGAUUCCUGCCACGUGGAAGCAAGGAAGCUACAGGCAUCCUGACCUUGAAACCCUGCAGUCUCCAUGAUUGGACGGGGCAGGCCUGUCAGCAUCGAAACCAAAAGACUGAAAACCAAACCCCAGAGUGGACAAAGAGCAUCUCAGAAUCCGUGUGGGGACCAGGGAUGCGAGGACCUGACAUCCCCCACUUCUCCUUCUCCUGGCACUUCAGAAAUCUCCUACCAGGCACAGCCCUGAGGAAGGGGACCCGGACUCCCCUGAUGAGAUUAUUGUCAUUGCAGUCGAGUGGGGGCUUAAAGUAGAAAUAAAGCUCAUUUACAGAAAAAAUUC